rnacentral:rRNA from 1 species
CGAAUGCUGACAUAAGUAACGAUAAAGCGGGUGAAAAGCCCGCUCGCCGGAAGACCAAGGGUUCCUGUCCAACGUUAAUCGGGGCAGGGUGAGUCGACCCCUAAGGCGAGGCCGAAAGGCGUAGUCGAUGGGAAACAGGUUAAUAUUCCUGUACUUGGUGUUACUGCGAAGGGGGGACGGAGAAGGCUAUGUUGGCCGGGCGACGGUUGUCCCGGUUUAAGCGUGUAGGCUGGUUUUCCAGGCAAAUCCGGAAAAUCAAGGCUGAGGCGUGAUGACGAGGCACUACGGUGCUGAAGCAACAAAUGCCCUGCUUCCAGGAAAAGCCUCUAAGC